rnacentral:rRNA from 1 species
GUAGCGGUGAAAUGCUUAGAUAUCACGAAGAACUCCGAUUGCGAAGGCAGCUUACCGGAGCGCAACUGACGCUGAGGCUCGAAAGCGCGGGUAUCGAACAGGAUUAGAUACCCUGGUAGUCCGCGCGGUAAACGAUGGAUGCCCGCCGUUGGGAUUUAGAUUUCAGCGGCCAAGCGAAAGCGUUAAGCAUCCCACCUGGGGAGUACGCCGGCAACGGUGAAACUCAAAGGAAUUGACGGGGGCCCGCACAAGCGGAGGAACAUGUGGUUUAAUUCGAUGAUACGCGAGGAACCUUACCCGGGCUUGAAUUGCAGGAGAACGAUCCAGAGAUGGUGAGGCCCUUCGGGGCUCCUGUGAAGGUGCUGCAUGGUUGUCGUCAGCUCGUGCCGUGAGGUGUCGGCUCAAGUGCCAUAACGAGCGCAACCCCUGUCCAUAGUUGCCAUCAGGUCGUGCUGGGCACUCUGUGGAGACUGCCGCCGUAAGGUGUGAGGAAGGUGGGGAUGACGUCAAAUCAGCACGGCCCUUACGUCCGGGGCUACACACGUGUUACAAUGGGGCAUACAGCGAGUUGGAUGUGCGCAAGUACGUCCGGAUCAAUAAAGUGCCUCUCAGUUCGGACUGGGGUCUGCAACCCGACCCCACGAAGCUGGAUUCGCUAGUAAUCGCGCAUCAGCCAUGGCGCGGUGAAUACGUUCCCGGGCCUUGUACACACCGCCCGUCAAGCCAUGAAAGCCGGGGGCGCCUGAAGUCCGUGACCGCGAGGGUCGGCCUAGGGUGAAACCGGUGAUUGGGGCUAAGUCGUAACAAGGUAGCCGUACCGGAAGGUGCGGCUG